AGAGUUUGAUCCUGGCUCAGGAUGAACGCUGGCGGCGUGGAUAAGGCAUGCAAGUCGAGAGGGUUUAGACCCUCGGCAAACGGGUUCGGAUAACAUAGGAAUUUUCCCUAAAGUCAUGGAUAAUCCAGAGAAAUUUGGAACAAUACAUGAUAUGCUCUACGGAGUAAAGAUUUAUCGCUUUAGGAGAAGCCUAUGUCCUAUCAGCUUGUUGGUGAGGUAAUAGCUCACCAAGGCUAUGACGGGUAGGGGGUGUGAGAGCACGGCCCCCAACAUUGGAACUGAGACACUGUCCAAACACCUACGGGUGGCUGCAGUCGAGAAUAUUCCACAAUGGACGAAAGUCUGAUGGAGCGACGCCGCGUGCGGGAUGAAGGCCUUCGGGUUGUAAACCGCUUUUUUCAGGGAGCAAUUUCGAUGAGAGUACCUGAAGAAUAAGAGGUUACUAACUCUGUGCCAGCAGUAGCGGUAAUACAGAGACCUCAAGCGUUAUCCGGAUUUAUUGGGCGUAAAGGGCAGGUAGGUGGAUAUGUUAGUCGGAUGUUAAAUCUCGGGGCUCAACCCCGAACGAGCAUUCGAAACGGCAUGUCUAGAGGAUGUGAGAGAUCAGUGGAAUUUAUGGUGUAGUAGUGAAAUGCGUUGAUAUCAUAAAGAACACCCAAGGCGAAGGCAACUGAUUGGCACAUAUCUGACACUGAGCUGCGAAAGCGUGGGGAGCGAAUAGGAUUAGAUACCCUAGUAGUCCACGCCCUAAACGAUGCAUACUAGGUGCAGGGAGAAUCGACCCUUUCUGUGCCGGAGCUAACGCGUUAAGUAUGCCGCCUGGGAAGUACGAUCGCAAGAUUAAAACUCAAAGGAAUAGACGGGGAUCCGCACAAGUGGUGGAGCAUGUGGUUUAAUUCGACAGUAAGCGAGGCACCUCACCAAGGUUUGAAAUCUAGCUGCAGAGCCCAGAAAUGGGAUGUCCUUCGAGGGUGCUAGACCAGGUGCUGCAUGGUUGUCGUCAGCUCGUGUCGUAAGAUGUUCCGUUCAGUCGGGAAACGAGCGCAACCCCUGUGAAGUGUUAUAUAUGUCACUUCAGACUGCCCUCUC
rnacentral:rRNA from 1 species